GCGAGACCCCCUCAAAUAAUAGUAUGCUGCCACCACAAUAGUUUAUAGAGUUAUUGAGCUCUCGACCAAGCAUUAUUUAACACUUGAUCGUAAAUGAAGAACUUUUCCUCGAUGAGAACUUUAAUUAAAUGUCCAGUAAACCUCCAAUCAGAAUAGCCGUCUCAUGAUCCAAUAUCUGAGAUUACGCUUCGAGGCCUAUGAUUGGUCCAUCUUCUUGCAUCGACCGCCAACUUUUAGCCUCUCCGUUCUGCCACAGUCAUGGAUGUUGAAGGAGCUCCGAUGACCUGAAGAAAAACCGUCAUUUCUCCCGUCUUGAGACUUCAGACAUACUUCUUGACCCGGACUCUCGCAACAGAAUUUAAUAGGUGUUGGAGAAGGUAACAGCAAAUCUACCGGCAGACUGAUUUCUCUUCCAAGCAUCAUCAUAGCAGGACUUUCUCCAGUUGAUUCCUGGACUGCUGAUCUGUAUGCCAACAUAGCAAAUGGUAUCCUCUCAUCCCAGUCCUUCUGUUCACCAUCUGGAUCGAGCAAUGACGACACCAUACCCAUCUUCUAAAAUCUCCUACAAUGUCGGCAAUCGGUGCAAGGUCGUCUGGAUAACCCAUCAGCAUUCAAGUGGACACGUCCAGCACGAUGCUCUAAGGUGACGACUGUACAGCAUCCCCUACUGCUCUGACGUGACGUGGCCUAAUCCUCUCUCGUGCCUUCUCUGUCUGUAGAAAAGACUCUGUAGUCAAUGCAGCACUAAUCGCCUCUUCAAGUGUUCUGGGAUGAGCUCGGAAAAUGGCAGCCCUGAUUUCACCAUCGUCGAUCGCUUCUGAAAAGUGUCCACGAGCAAGCCUCUCUCGAGCAUCGUUGCUUAGCUCCGGGUAGGCUAAGCAGGUCAAAUCUCUAAUUGCCUGACCCAAUUCCUGUAAGCUCUCCUUCGGCUGUCGUCGCCUAGUCCUCAACUCCAGCAAGAAAUUUUCAGCAUUCUCUCUCGGUCCAAAUCGUCGCUCCAAAAGAGAAGUUAGAUUGGAGUAUGUGAGAUCCUGUCCAAAUGGAAUAUUAUUCAAGACCUUCAGUGCAGCGCCUUGCAGUCUCGUGGCGAGAUAUUGUCCAGCCUCGACAUCAUCCCAAUUAUUCAAUCUUCUGCAGACGUCAAAGUGUCGGCGAUAGUCCGUCCAUGGUACCUUCCCAGCAAACUUAUCCGGCAAAACGUCCCUGGCUCCAGAUCCUCUCAGUUUCUUCGGGUCGGUCGUUUGGUGACUCCCAACAUAGGAAGCAUUAUUUCGGAAUUGAGUUGGCGUAUAAACCUGGCGCCUCUCCGCAGGAAUAGCAUCUCCAUAAUUGGCCAUGUCUACCGCUAUCUCCGGAUCCUGCUCAUCUAAUACCCAGCUCCUCUGGACUCCAUUAUUUCCAGUAUCUCCUGCUGCCAACUCAGCGCUUGGUUCCAUCAUACCGAGUGCUAUAAUUUUUAAUAUAUUUGGAUGUAUGUUUAUUUUCUUGUGUUUAAGUAUAAAUAUACAUGUUUUAUUUUGUGUCAAGCAAACGUACCCUUACAUUGUAAAAGGAAUAGAUUUCCUUAUUAUUCACAGUGAUUGAUUCACUGUGAGUAUGUCCAUAGGACAUAUAAAUGCUCAUUUUCCAUAUUCAAUCUUAACUUAUUUAAUGCACACUUGUAAUAAGGAACUCAAAACACAACUUAUUUAUUAUACAUAGCUUAAACAAUACAUUCCUAAAUAUCUACUAGUACCGUACACAACUAUACAUAAUAAUAGCAAAAUUCUUAUAAUACACAUCAUUCUACUACUAAGCAGACAAAAUGUAGUCUUUUUCUCUUUUAAAAGUGGAGGGGUUCUUUGAAAAGACCAUCCCACACCGCUACCAAAAAUGUAAAUUUUUGGUGCAGGGACUCUACAAAAAGACCAUCCCACCGCCGUGCCACCAAAAAUGUAACGCGAGACCCCCUCAAAUAAUAGUAUGCUGCCACCACAAUAGUUUAUAGAGUUAUUGAGCUCUCGACCAAGCAUUAUUUAACACUUGAUCGUAAAUGAAGAACUUUUCCUCGAUGAGAACUUUAAUUAAAUGUCCAGUAAACCUCCAAUCAGAAUAGCCGUCUCAUGAUCCAAUAUCUGAGAUUACGCUUCGAGGCCUAUGAUUGGUCCAUCUUCUUGCAUCGACCGCCAACUUUUAGCCUCUCCGUUCUGCCACAGUCAUGGAUGUUGAAGGAGCUCCGAUGACCUGAAGAAAAACCGUCAUUUCUCCCGUCUUGAGACUUCAGACAUACUUCUUGACCCGGACUCUCGCAACAGAAUUUAAUAGGUGAGUUUACUCACUGAGUGACUUGGAUUAAUCUAAAUUACAAAGCUAAAAUUUCCCAUCUUUCUUGAUAGAGUAGCCAUGUAGCAAAAUCUCUAUUCACUCACGUACAAUACUUGUUCGCCUUGUGUUUCUACACACACGCUCAGGCAUAUCCACUUCACACACGUGCAGUCACCUAAAUUAAAUUAUGCACAUCGACAUCCAUAGAAGCGUUCACUUCAGGCAAUGCUUCGCAACCAAUCAUUCUAGUCUGUUUCAGUUCUCAAUUCCACUCUUUAUCACUGGGUCUCACUAGGUAAGCGUAGUUUUCCAAGCUCGAUGUCGCGUUCCGUUUUCUUGAAAUAUACAAGGUUGGUCUAUAAAUAAACUAAGAACCCUAACUUAAAUAAUGCUUAAACUAAUUGUACGGUACUUAUCCCUAAUCACAUCAUCAAUCAAUCAUCACUAAUCAAUCGAUCACCAUUUCUAAUUCUAAGACUUAACAACAAAUCCAAUUUAUUGGAUUCAUCAUUCUCAAACACUGAUCACUAAUCAUCUUCCUUCUAUGCAAAGUGUGCAAGUCCAAUUACUGAUUCCUAAGAAAAAUAAAAUAAAGUUCAACUGAACUUUAAUAUAAGAAAUUUUGAAGUUAACAAUUCUUCUGAACAUUUCACAAUAAAAUUUGGAUAUUUACAUCAAUUUACAUAAGUAUAAAAAUUCAUUGAAUAUGGAAUGAGCAAUAUUAAAUUGUAUAACUUACUCUACGUAGAUAAGAAUUUAACUGUAAGUCUGUGCAUGUCACUCUUAAAUUGAAAGAAUGAUAAAUAGAAUAAUAAUUGCAAAGUUGAUAAAUCCUAUGUAUUCACUGUUAUAAAUACACCAAGCAAUAUCGGUAUCGUUUGUAAGUAUUGAUUAUUACCUAAGCUACAUCCUACUUAGUUCUGUACUUUAUACUCCGUAGAGUUGUGUUCUCUCUCAGAAUUAUUUCCACUUAAAAACUGUAAACUACUCUCCACAAAGGUUCCAGGACCAAUGGAUCUUUUCUGUCGAUCUGACUUAUGUGAGUAAUCCUAUCUAAACUGCCAGCAGUUACUCAAUAUCUUUCUCCAUCCAAUGUCACUAACCCAAUACAACACACCAAUCUCCAAAAAUAUCCUUAUCCUAUCAACCUCUCAACGGGCCUUGUUUACCAGCCUUACAGCGCCUACAAAACUCCCACUCACUUUGUCGGUGUGAAGUUUGUAUCAACAUCCAACAUUCUGUGUGAUGAAAAGCCUCAGAAAUCCGUAAAUAUCCCUAAUCAUCACGGGUUCAAGAAUAGACUCACAUAGUACCUUUCUUAGCAUUAAAGCCUACCGGAAACUCUAACCUCGUCCCUGCUGUCUGAGCAUA
rnacentral:lncRNA from 1 species